rnacentral:rRNA from 1 species
UACGUAGGGUCCAAGCGUUAAUCGGAAUUACUGGGCGUAAAGCGUGCGCAAGCGGUUGUGCAAGACCGAUGUGAAAUCCCCGAGCUUAACUUGGGAAUUGCAUUGGUGACUGCACGGCUAGAGUGUGUCAGAGGGGGGUAGAAUUCCACGUGUAGCAGUGAAAUGCGUAGAGAUGUGGAGGAAUACCGAUGGCGAAGGCAGCCCCCUGGGAUAACACUGACGCUCAUGCACGAAAGCAUGGGGAGCAAACAGG